AGAAACAGACAACACACAAAAAUCUGAAAAAACCAAAAGUACUGAUACUAACCUAGUAAUACAUCUGAUUCAAGGCCUGGUGUGAUUGAGAACCACCAAGUAACAACCAUCUAUUUUUCCCAAUGAAAAAUUCAAAAAGGUGAUCAGAAGGGAAAGAUGAUAAAUAAACUCCUAGUUCAGGCUUGUGAAAUUUAGACAGACUCGAAAUACUCAGCUCAGGCUAUUCUCAUGCUUACAACCAUGGUAUGACAAGAAAAAACUGGGUAACCCUUCAUUAAUAUUGUAUUGUAAAUAUUCCACUGAAAAGUUACCUCCAAACAGCAAGGAAUAACACAUGAAAUCAUCCUUUUUGAGACUCUGAGGUGAGAAGACUCAUUUUGUCAGUCAGAUGAUUUAUAUGUUGAAUCUUGUCCCAUCCAUUCUCACUUGACUGCAAUUGAUAUUUCAUUGUUACACUUUCCGACGAUGUAGGACUAAUUUCAUCUGUGUCCACAGGUAACGGGCUUGCUGCAAGAAAUUGCUCCCAGAAAGCAUCAUUGAUUCCAGGAAGCUGAGUAGCCCCAUCAAGAAAGAUGGCCAGAUCAUGGUCCUCAG
rnacentral:lncRNA from 1 species